UGAACCGCCUCGCGCUGGGCUGCGCCACGUGUGUCUGGCGGAACCGGCUGAGCGGCGGAGCUUCGUGAUGGCCGUGAGCGUGGAUGGCAGGACGUUCGAGGGCUCCGGGCGCAGCAAGAAGCUGGCCCGGGGUCAGGCCGCGAGGCCGCUGCAGGCGCCGACAUCCAGAUGCCCGGCCACGCACCCGGCAGGGCCAGGAGGACGCCAAUGCCGCAGGAAUUCGCAGACUCCAUAUCCCAGCUGGUCACACAGAAGUUCCGCGAGGUGACGAUGGACCUCACGCCCAUGCACGCCCGCCACAAAGCUCUGGCAGGAAUCGUCAUGACCAAAGGUAGCCACCUCCUCUUUUCCUGUGGGCAUUUUCAUCUCUAAAGAAAGGAGCAUUAGCAUCUACCUGAUCUUGGAGGCCAAAAGGCUCUCUCUUCCACACCAAGCUGUGGCAAAGAAAGACAAAAUAUUAUAGGAUACACAGAGAUCAGUGGCCAGAGCGUAUUAGCAGGAAAAGCCAUCCUGACCAUGGUGCUGUGAUUAGGCUGCCAGGGCCCAGCUCUGCACAAACAUCCCCCAUCUCUGGGGGGCCUGGCCAGUCCCUUCCGGAGAACCCAAGUCUCCUGAGAGUCCUGAGUCCCUCUCGAUGGGGUGUAACCCACCCCGGAACGCUCUCAUUUCUGCCAAGAUUCCCCAUCCCAAACACCCAGGGAGUGAAUUCCACUCUAAGAAAUACGGGUGACCCAGCUGCGAGGGGCAUGCUGACAGCCAAGGAGGCGGCAUCUCCAGUCAGCCAGGAUGGGGAAAAUGAAUGAGGGCUAAAUUUGAUGAGUCAGCACUGUGGAAAUAACAAGCCACCAACCUAUUAAUAACAAGCCAGCGGGUUAUUUGAAUUCAACCAUUUCCAUUUCCAAAGUUUUUCACAACUGUGUAAUGACCUCCUUGUCACACUCAUUACACUCUCACACACUUGAGAGUCGUUACUGUAAAAUAGUAACUGACUUUUGGAUUAAGUUUCACACACACGCUUGCUCUGCAUGUGCCGGCAAAAUCUAAGGCGGAAAAAGACCAUCGACCUGACAUACAAACAUAUUUAUAUUGAAAAAUAAAGGACCAGAUGACUGGCAUGGUUCUCAACCAUGCUGGGCCGGCAGGGUCCUCUCCAAUCUUACUGGGUGUGGGAAUAUUGGAACCCAGCACCCAGUGCCAUGUCUUGGCUGUGUAAUCUUCCCAGUGUGGGCCUCCUGGUAAAAUGAAAAUGAAACUGCUUCCUCACAAUGUAACUGGGUGAGAUCUAGAAUAUGAGAUGCUUUGAAAGGUAAAGUCGUUUUAUAAAUAGAUCAUGCAGUAUAUAAAUAUACCAGACCCGCCCUGACCACCAGCACCUGCCCCACCUUUGAGACACAGACUACAUCUGCCUCUUUGUGGAAUUAGGAAUGUUCUAAAUUGAGGGCUAAGAGUUCACCUCCACCAAGCUCAUCCCUGCUGGAGGUGACCAUUCCUUCAUCCUCCAGCAUGCAGCCAUCAACUGGGCACCGCCAUACACUGGGCACUGCUCUGUAGGCCCACGGGGCUGCAAGGAAGAGACACGGCCCCCACUCAGGGUACAGCAGUCUCACUAAGGGAGCAGUGAGUUUGGCAGGCCAAAAGCAUCAUCCUAGCACAGAAUCCAGCCCCACCUGCACAGAGCUCUGCGACUCAUGGCCAGCCACUGAGCCUUGCUGGGACUCUGUUCUCUCACCUUUAAAAACAGGGAUAACAGCAACACCUACCUGAUCAGGUUAUUUUGAUGGCUAAAUGUGUUCAUGUAUUUCUAGCUCUUAGAAAGUUACCUAGCCCAUAGCAAGUACCAUGUAAGUGUUAGUUAAUUAUUGGUAAUGGCACUGUUUCAUUUACAAAUUAUUUAGUCAGUGCCUGGCAUACAAAGUUCUGGGGAAACAGCAGAGAACAAGAGACCAAACACUUACCCUUGUGGCUCUUAUAUUCCAGUGGGGAAUGGUUCUUAAAGAAUAAUUUAAAUCCAAUAUAGAAGAACUAUAAAAGAACUAUGUACACACAGAGUUGUUGGUCCAUAUAAACAAAACUUUGGUAAAUUUUAAAAUGUGGAGUGUUACAGAGAUUUCUGCUACAGGUUUCUAAAUAACUCAGUUUAAAUUAGUGUCCUGGUCUGAAAG
ensembl:lncRNA